rnacentral:rRNA from 1 species
CAGCAGCCGCGGGAAAACGUAGGUGGCAAGCGUUGUCCGGAAUUAUUGGGCGUAAAGGGCUCGCAGGCGGUUUCUUAAGUCUGAUGUGAAAGCCCCCGGCUCAACCGGGGAGGGUCAUUGGAAACUGGGAAACUUGAGUGCAGAAGAGGAGAGUGGAAUUCCACGUGUAGCGGUGAAAUGCGUAGAGAUGUGGAGGAACACCAGUGGCGAAGGCGACUCUCUGGUCUGUAACUGACGCUGAGGAGCGAAAGCGUGGGGAGCGAGCAGGAUUAGAUACCCCGUAGUCCCUGUCUCUUAUACA